rnacentral:rRNA from 1 species
UGGGGAAUAUUGCACAAUGGGCGAAAGCCUGAUGCAGCAACGCCGCGUGAAGGAAGAAGGGUUUCGGCUCGUAAACUUCUAUCAACAGGGACGAAGGAAGUGACGGUACCUGAAUAAGAAGCCCCGGCUAACUAUGUGCCAGCAGCCGCGGUAAUACGUAGGGGGCAAGCGUUAUCCGGAAUUACUGGGUGUAAAGGGUGAGUAGGCGGCAUGGUAAGCCAGAUGUGAAAGCCUUGGGCUUAACCCGAGGAUUGCAUUUGGAACUAUCAAGCUAGAGUACAGGAGAGGAAAGCGGAAUUCCUAGUGUAGCGGUGAAAUGCGUAGAUAUUAGGAAGAACACCAGUGGCGAAGGCGGCUUUCUGGACUGAAACUGACGCUGAGGCACGAAAGCGUGGGGAGCGAACAGGAUUAGAUACCC